rnacentral:rRNA from 1 species
UUCCUACGGGAGGCAGCAGUGGGGAAUAUUGCACAAUGGGGGAAACCCUGAUGCAGCGACGCCGCGUGAGUGAAGAAGUAAUUCGUUAUGUAAAGCUCUAUCAGCAGGGAAGAAAAUGACGGUACCUGACUAAGAAGCCCCGGCUAACUACGUGCCAGCAGCCGCGGUAAUACGUAGGGGGCAAGCGUUAUCCGGAUUUACUGGGUGUAAAGGGAGCGUAGACGGCUAAUCAAGUCAGAAGUGAAAACCCAGGGCUAAACUUUG